UGCGUUCAAGUUCAGCGAACAUAGACGAACGUUCGCAACGAACGCGUUGACAUUCAACAAUUAAUUUUGAACGAUUUUUGAACACCGUUCUAAACAAACUGUAAACGAAAAAAAUGGAUACGCAGGCCAUGGUAUUAGCGGCAGCCUCCAUGUUAAUGGAAGAGUUUACAGAAGAGGGUUUGCAAGUGGUCGACCUCGUUGAAAGCCUACUGCAGACAACCAGUACGGAAAAUUCAAGAAUAGAGGGCUACGUCACCGAAGUUGUACCCACUUACUGCGAUAUAACGUUCAAAUCGCAUUUUAGGAUGCAAAAGACAACAGUUGAAGUAAGGGUGUAGAUAGGCUAUAUGAAACGUUUUAUCUAUUGCUUUCUGUGUAGGAAAAAAUUAAAUGAUUUCAAUAUAGUUUAGUUUAAUGCCAUGGCAACGAAUGUCACGUAGCCGAAGAGAGCACCGCGAUCCAUCUCUGUUUGUGGAGAACUACCUCUUCAGACAGUUUGCCUAUGUUCGUAAACGUUUGCUUGCUUAUGUUCGUUUAACGGAAAA